GGCCAAUGCGCACCGUGAUUGUCAGACCAGGGGAAGGAAGGCAGGGAAGUCCUAGCGAUUAGGCAGAUAAUAAGGGAAAUUCCUUAGCCCUUAGCACAAGGCCUUUUCCCUCCCCCAGAACCUGCUGGGGCCGAAUCGCCCCCGAUUUGCAGCAGAGAUAAGGAGGUCGCAGCCAUGGCGGAUGGACAACAAACAGCGCUUUAUCUGCACCGCCACCCGCAGUCCACGAUCAAUAUGUGGUCAUCGCUGCUCCGUCCUGCAGGAAGGAUCUGUGAGCUGAGACACUCACGUCCCCCCAGUUCCUGCCUCAGGAGUCCCCAGGUCACACAAGCAGGGAUACGGAAGAAAGAGGAAAAACACUCAAACAGAGUUCACUCCUCAGAGCUAUGGUUGUGUGUGCUUUCCUGGAGGCCUGGCAGGAAAACAGACCAAAAGAAAGGGAAAAAAAAAAGGCUGGUGCUGGAAACAUCUGGAUUUUUGUAUGUGCAUGGCACCUUGGGAGAGUCUGUUUGUGUUCAUCCAGUAAAUCCAAUACUUCUCCCUGAAAUAUAUGGGAGUGGGAAGUAUGUAUUAAAGAUAACUAUUCCUGUUUAAACUCAAGCCUGGGUUAUUAACAGCAAUGCAGCGGUGAUGAGAAGCAGCAAUGUGAUGAUCUAUAUGAGCAAUGUUAUGCUAUCUCUCAGCCUCUGUAGAGUUAGCUGUAAUCAUUGUGCAACCCUGACCAUCAAAGGGAAGAUACGAUCAGAUAAGCAAAACACUGUUGUGAUUUUGCAUCUGUGAUACUUAAGUUGUAAUUAUUACUUUUCAGGUCUUUGGUUAAAGUGAUGGUGAAAACUCAUUUUUCAUUUACACACACACACAUAUGUAUACAUGUAUAUCUUCGACCUAUCAGAGCCUUCAGAAAGUGUGUGUCUGUGUAUAG
ensembl:lncRNA